CUAAAAGCAAUGAAGGGAACGAGUAAUCUCUAAGUCGGUGCUGAGCGAGUCAGGGACGGUGCGAGCCUGAACACACGGUAGAGACGAAGAUCCUCCCCGAGCUGCUCUCCGAAAAAAGUGUUUGAAAAGGAAGUCUCUCAAUUUGAGUCUCCCCCAAGCAAAGCUUUGAGUAGAUAGAGACGUGUUCCGCACGUUAUAGCGGGGCGCUCUUCCCGUUAGGGAGUAGCGAUAGAGUCCAGCAUCGUGAGAUUCUGGAGAAGUUGGGUGGUACCGCGCUCACCUAGAGCGUCCCAAUG
rnacentral:ncRNA from 1 species